CAAGACAUUACUUUCUCUGUUUUUGUAGAUGUUCAAAAUCGUUUUUUGUUUGUUUUCACUAAUAGUUAUGGUAGGUUACUGAGGGUAAGGGUUUGCUGCAGGGAACUGCAUUGGUAUCGCAAAACAGGUUUGAUAAGAUAGCCUACUUGGUAUUUCUGUACAUACUGGCCUAUCACUCUGUUCCACAAAGGUAUCCUUAAAAGCAUAUUUUUUAUGGGUUUGUUGUGUUGUGUAGCCUAAAUUCAUCUUCAAACCAUUAUUGUUUAAACUUGUUCCAUGAAAAGCUGUUGAAGUUGAGCUUUGUGAAACUUUGCAGCAGACAUCUCCAAAUCUGGGACAAACAAAUUCCAAACUGCAUAGAAACCACCAGACGGACUGUAAAAUGAUUUCAGUCUUCAACAUGUCAGCUGUAGAACAGUGAACUUCCACUGGAAACACCGUCAUCUGGAGUGUGAAAGUGACACAUUACCAUACCUCAAUCUGGGUGACUCAGUAGACAUGUUAGUUGCAGUCCCCUGCACUUAUCUAAACCAAAAUUGUCUUUUCCGGGAAAUGUUUAUGUACAGUUAUUGCUAAUAUUUUAUUGUUGUUCCUUUAUUUUUAUUUAUCACUAUUGUGAUUUUACAAUUGUAAAAAACUUUGUUACCUUGAAAGGUGCUGCAUUAAAAUAACUCUACUUACUUACUAA